rnacentral:rRNA from 1 species
GGCGGCGUGCCUAACACAUGCAAGUCGAACGGGCUAGUGCUUCGCACUAGUCUCUUUCUGGGGUUGCUACUCUAAGGCUACCUGCUAAAGUUAUUGCUUUAAAGCGAGGGGUUUUAGGGGACCGUUCCCCAAAAGGGGCCAGUGCGGAGCACUGGCCAGUGGCGAACGGGUGAGUAACACGUGGGUAAUCUGCCCUCGAGUGGGGAAUAAGCUCCCGAAAGGGGGUCUAAUACCGCAUGACGUUUCAUAACGAUGGUUAUGAAACCAAAGCCCAAAAGGCGCUUGAGGAGGAGCCUGCGUCCUAUCAGCUUGUUGGCAGGGUAAUGGCCUACCAAGGCAACGAUGGGUAGCCGGCCUGAGAGGGUGUACGGCCACACUGGGACUGAGACACGGCCCAGACUCCUACGGGGGGGCAGCAGUAGGGAAUUUUCGGCAAUGGGCGAAAGCCUGACCGAGCGACGCCGCGUGAGGGACGAAGGCCUUCGGGUUGUAAACCUCUGUCUGGGGGGAUGAGAACGGACGGUACCCCCGGAGGAAGCCCCGGCUAACUACGUG